ensembl:lncRNA
AUGAAUGUGCUGCCGUGAGGUGAAGCAGCCCACAGCCCUCUUGCAGCAAUCCUUCAGGUGACAUGGCGGUCACAUGCCUGAUGGUCAGCAAUGUGAUUCCAGGCCACUGCUUCUGGAGACUUCCACUGCCCCAGCUACAGGACAGAGGAAAUUGCGUUUAGGAAGAAAAAAGUAUGGAAGCAUCACCACCAUGACUGCGACAGCCAGCAUCAGUCCCUUCUGUGGUUCCAGCAUUAAAACCAGAUGUUGGUUGAGUCUCAGAUGCACUUGGGCUCCUACAUGGCUUGGUCACAGAGUAUGGGGUAAGGCACCAAAUGCAUUUCGUGGCAGUCAGCAGUUUGGAGGCUCUUGCUGGCACUCAGUGGCUGACCUCAGGGAAACCCAGGUGAAAGGAGAUAGAUACCACUCCACAGGCUGAUGGUAGAGCCUACAGGGCCUUUGUCACCUUUGGAAAUGAGGCAAAGAUAGUCCCGUCACUUAGGGACAGAUGAUAUUUUUCUUAAUGUGUUUAGGUGUCUUAAUGUAGGAAAUUAAGUUCCAUGACCCUCCUGAUAAGCUCACCAGAUGCCCAUCUGUAACAUUGUUUGUGAACUACCUUGUAAAAUCAGGCUCCUUGGCAGAGCCAAGGAAGCCCAAGUUUCUGAUCUGGGACAUGCACACUGUGACAGGAGCCAGAUGUGUCAGAAACAUAUGCUCCUCUUUGGAACUGUACCUCCAUCAGCAGCAGAGGACGUUUGGCCUUACUAAGAAGUGCCUGGCCUGGCCCCCAAAUUUCCUUUUAUUGUUUGAUUCCCAGCAGAAAUGUGUUGCUAACACGAGACAUCUUUGGAGCAUGCAUGUCAGCAUCAUCCUGAUGGCAGGGAGCUGGCAGGGCAAAGGGCAAAGUGUGCGAUGGAACUGCUGCCCCUGGAGCUGUGAUGAGAAAGCUGAUGUAGAGACAAUCUCCUGGCCUGUCCCAGUGGCAGGGCUGUAGAAAUGCGUGCACAUUCUUUGUCUUGGCAGGCCGUGCGUGUUUGUUCGCAUAGAAGUCUAUUGUGUAGAUAUUAAUAUCUGCAGCUACCUCUAAUUUCUGUUGUAAUGAUGCACUUUUAUUGCAUUAGAGUGACCUGAAACUGUGUCCUAAUCUCAUAGAUCCCAUUUACACAGCUUGCACUGUAGGUUUAAUUUCACAGUUUUUAGUUUCCCAGCUUAAAAAUGUGAACAAUUCAUGGAGCAAAAUUAACAGUUUAUUAGAAAUAUCAGUCUCUGCAAAAGUCCUAAGGGUAAUUCACAGCUCUAUAAAAGGUUGUGGUAUAAAUAAUUGCUUGAUGAAUAUGGACCGUGUCUGUUUGUCAUUAAACACCAGCAGAGAGCUAAU